rnacentral:tRNA from 1 species
AUUAGGUUAGGUUAAGAAAACUAUUAAACUUCAAAUUUAAUGAUAUAUAAAUUAUACCUUUUG